rnacentral:misc_RNA from 1 species
GAUGAAGAACGUAGCGAAAUGCGAUAAGUAAUGUGAAUUGCAGAAUUCAGUGAAUCAUCGAAUCUUUGAACGCAUCUUGCGCUCCUUGGUAUUCUGAGGAGCAUGCCUGUUUGAGUGUCAUUAAAUUCUCAACUACACUGACUUUGAAUUGGUGUGGCUUGGAUUUGGGGGGAAAAUAGUUGUGGGCUUUUUGUAUAGUCUGCUCCCCUGAAAUUGAUUAGCGGUACCUUUGUGGAACUGUCUACAGGUGUGAUAAUUAUCUACAUCUUAGACAUCUGCUGGAAUGCUGCUUUCUAAACCUUACUUGUAUUGACAAUCUUGACCUCAAAUCAGGUAGGACUACCCGCUGAACUUAAGCAUAUCAAUAAGCGGAGGA